rnacentral:rRNA from 1 species
GACGAACGCUGGCGGCGUGCUUAACACAUGCAAGUCGAACGCUGAAGCUCAGCUUUUGUUGGGUGGAUGAGUGGCGAACGGGUGAGUAACACGUGAGUAACCUGCCCCCUUCUUUGGGAUAAUGCCCGGAAACGGGUGCUAAUACUGGAUAUUCACUGGUCUUCGCAUGGGGGUUGGUGGAAAGGGUUUUUCUGGUGGGGGAUGGGCUCGCGGCCUAUCAGCUUGUUGGUGGGGUGAUGGCCUACCAAGGCUUUGACGGGUAGCCGGCCUGAGAGGGUGACCGGUCACAUUGGGACUGAGAUACGGCCCAGACUCCUACGGGAGGCAGCAGUGGGGAAUAUUGCACAAUGGGCGCAAGCCUGAUGCAGCGACGCCGCGUGAGGGAUGGAGGCCUUCGGGUUGUGAACCUCUUUCGCUCAUGGUCAAGCCGCAACAAUGGUUGUGGUGAGGGCAGUGGGUAGAGAAGCGCCGGCUAACUACGUG